AGAGAGAGACAUGCGCGCAUAUCAAUAAGCGGAGGAAAAGAAACUAACUAGGAUUCCCUCAGUAACGGCGAGUGAAGCGGGAAGAGCUCAAAUUUGAAAUCUUCAAGGUUCUACCUUGACGAAUUGUAGUUUAAAGAAGUGUUUUCUGUUGGAGUUUUGGUAAAAGUUCUUUGGAAUAGGACAUCAUAGAGGGUGAGAAUCCCGUAUUUGACCAUUAUUUCCAGCUUUGUGAUACACUUUCAAAGAGUCGGAUUGUUUGGGAAUGCAGUCCAAAAUGGGUGGUAAAUUUCAUCUAAAGCUAAAUAUUGGCGAGAGACCGAUAGCGAACAAGUACCGUGAGGGAAAGAUGAAAAGAACUUUGAAAAGAGAGUUAAACAGUACGUGAAAUUGUCAAAAGGGAAGCGUUUGACACCAGUGUUGUUUUUCCGAAAAUCAAUUACGAAUGUUUUGUUUUUGAGGAGUUAUGACUUCAUCGGCUUGCUCCUUUCUUUACGAAACCUUCUUAAUGCACUUUUCGGUUAACAAGUCAACAUCAAUUUCUUUUGUUGUAAAAGGGUAUGAGGAAGGUGGCUUUCUUUUCGGAGAAAGUGUUUAUAGCCUUGUACCUCUGCAAUCGGAGAGAUUGAGGUCUGCAGCGUAGAUCCUUCGGGGUUAGAUACAUUUGUGCUAAGUUAUAGCUUUUCAUAGACAACCUGUUGACUAUGUUUAGUCUUGUAGCUUACUCGCUUAUGCUAUUUUACCUACGCUUAGGAUGUUGAUCUGUAGUGCGUGCGC
rnacentral:rRNA from 1 species